rnacentral:rRNA from 1 species
CUACGUGCCAGCAGCCGCGGUAAUACGGAGGGUGCGAGCGUUAAUCGGAAUAACUGGGCGUAAAGGGCACGCAGGCGGUUAUUUAAGCAGGAUGUGAAAUCCCCGGACUCAACCUGGGAACUGCGUUCUGAACUGGAUAGCUAGAGUGUGUCAGAGGGGGGUAGAAUUCCACGUGUAGCAGUGAAAUGCGUAGAGAUGUGGAGGAAUACCGAUGGCGAAGGCAGCCCCCUGGGAUAACACUGACGUUCAUGCUCGAAAGCGUGGGUAGCAAACAGGAUUAGAUACCCUGGUAGUCCACGCCCUAAACGAUGUCGAUUAGCUGUUGGGCAACUUGAUUGCUUAGUAGCGUAGCUAACGCGUGAAAUCGACCGCCUGGGGAGUACGGUCGCAAGAUUAAAACUCAAAGGAAUUGACGGGGACCCGCACAAGCGGUGGAUGAUGUGGAUUAAUUCGAUGCAACGCGAAGAACCUUACCUGGUCUUGACAU